CAAACCAUAAUGUCGAAUAAAACCACAACAGUUUUUUCUAGUGAUUUCAAACUUUUGCAGUACCGAAUAUAUAUCAUUUAUUCAUUGUAUUGAAUUGUGUUAUUUGUAAAAUUAUCCUGAGUGUAAACUAGAUCUUGCUGGAUUACUCUUCGGGGGACGCUUCAACAAGGCAGAAUUGGACACCAAAUAUAACACCUAGACUAAUCGUCAUGAUAAUAAGUAUCAGGACAUAGUGAAAAUUACCGAUGCAGUAAGCUCAAUGCAUCUUCAAGCUCUCGUGAGGCUAUUUGCAAAAAUCAUAUCUUCGAAAAUCUUGUACCCGGUAAAACAUGUUGGGAAGAAAUAAGGCUCUUUGAGGAUCAAAAUUUGGCUGGCUGUGCGAAUGCGGUUCGAUCAAUAGCUGUGAUUUCGAAUGACACGCACUUUAUGAUUUUUGAAGGGGCUUGGCGUCUGAAGAUUUUGAUUUGGAAAUGAUGGAUUAUCCUGCACCAGUGCCAGGUUCAACAAUUGAUCAUGCAGGAUAGAGAUGGGCAAAACAUUUCAUUUCAAAGAGGCGUUAAGUGAUGCAGAGUUCUAUUAAAAGAACUAGUUAUGUUUGCUUGUUGAAUAACUAACCUGAGGUUUCGCAAUAAACUGUUUUCUACCGUUCUCGAAAAAGACGGGGCGAUAAAAAAAUAUAAGGUCCACAACUAUAAACUGAAGAACUAUCGUUCUAGAAAAAAGAACUGUUGGUCAUUAAUACUUUCAAAAGAACUAUUUCUUUUGAACCGAUCGCGAACGAAUCGCUUAUCUCUAAUGCAGGGUAACGGAGAUAUUUUAGCCACUAAUAUAUUUUGGUCCAGCGUACAUAUUUCUGAAAAUAAUCAAAAUGAAGUACAUCGUGACCCAAAAUUUUAAAGAUGUUUCCAUUCGUAAACAUGUUAGCUAUGAAUAUGUACUCCAUUUUGAUUACAACCAAAAAUAUGAGCGCCAGUCCAAAAUAUAUUAGAGUAAUCAAAAUAUUUCCAUUAGCCUAUUUCUUAGUUUAGGAAGUCUUUUACCGCUACCGCGAAAGAUAAAGAUUAUAUAACUGUAAUAAAAUUAAAUUUAAAAAAACUGGCCCCAUGAAUUUUUUCGCGACCAUGAACCAUUUAAAAUUUGUUUCGUAUGAAUGUUUUGUUUGAUUAGAAUCUAUGUAUUAGAUCAGAGUUUUCACUUGAAUAUACCGCAAAGUACAAUUCAGUAUCUGUUAAAAAAAACACCCAGAAACAGGUCAGGGUAGGUUCGAUUGUGAAAUCUGGUAUGGUAUCAAUAGAUCUAAUAAAUUAUGCACAACGAAGAUCAAUCCUAUGAAUAUUUCCUAAUACGUUCCGUUGUCGACUCUGAUUUCUUCCUUAUACGAAUAACUCAUAUCAGACUUCUUUAAAAUAUACAACAGUGUGGCUUCGAAUACCAGUGCAAAGAAACCGUAGAAACCCCAAAAGAAUGGUUUCUCUUUAAAAAUGGUAGAGCUUCU